UGCGAGCAAAGAUUCCGUAUGGUGCUGAAAAUCAAAUGAUAAUUAAAUUAAUUGAAAAUAAAAUUAAACAUAAUAUUAAAUAAAAUAAUAAAUUAACAUUAUGCCAUCCGUAGGUCAAUUAAUAACCGCCGAUAUGCGGCCAUUAGUGUUAACUUUAGUUCUACAGUUUUGAAUACCACAAUAAAGCCAUCGUGUCACUUGCACGAUAAUUUUUGCAUGGCACCAAUGUGGAGUCACCGGACGUCAUAAUAGUGUUAAUACAAUUAAAAUAAUCAUUUGCAAUUGAAUGAAAUAAUAAUAACGUAGUAUGGUGUUGAGAAUCAAAUUUUCAACUUCACGUGAUCUGCUAUCAAGAAUGCGUAUCCUUGGUGGUGGUGCUUCAGGUGCGCUAGUAAUGCUAAUCAUUUCCGGAUCUCUGAUUGGCAUCAUCCCGAAGGUUAUGUUCUUGGAUGACAUGUCUACCACUGUGUUUGAGUAGAUGCCAGUCUGAAAACCGUCACGCUGCCAUGAUGAACAGAAAGUUUGAAAGAUGAACAAGAAAAUGUUUGAUACACGAAGCUAACUAUUAUUUCGUGAGAUUUAAAACAAACAUGUUUUUUUUUUUUUUUUUCUU